UACGAAGGGGUGCAAACGUUGCUCGGAAUUAUUGGGCGUUAAAGCGCACGUAGGCGGCUUAGCAAGUCGGAUGUGAAAUCCCUCGGCUCAACCAAGGAAGUGCAUCCGAAACUGCUGAGCUUGAGUACUUAAGAGGAUCGCGGAAUUCCCGGUGUAGAGGUGAAAUUCGUAGAUAUUCGGAAGAACACCAGUGGCGAAGGCGACUCACUGGACACGUAGUGACGCUGAGGUGCGAAAGCGUGGGGAGCAAACAGG
rnacentral:rRNA from 1 species